ACAGUGAUAUGUAAAGUAUAACAUUUUCAUUCUGGGAAAUAAUAAAAACCUUGAAACCUUGAAAUCUUGAAGCUAUGCUGUAGCUCUGAUGAUCAAGGUGACGGGUUAGGCAUUGGUUUAUUCAUGGCCAGAAUUUUCAAUAAAUACGGAACAAUAACACAAGCCCCAGUCAUUCCAGUCCUACGAUUGCAGAGAGAAGAAGUCAGUUUGUACCUGUUCAACCUCUUAUUUACUGCUGCGUGUCAAGAAUUACGUGUCAGUCAUGAAAUACCAAGUGGUUCUUGUGUUGCUUUUACUCGGUAUGGCAUUUGCCUACCCAGCACUGGAUGAAGAAACUCGUCCAAUGGACAUUGAAGAAGAUUCUGCUGUCGUAAAACGUAAAGCUCAAUGCCUUUGGUCAGGUAAUUGUGCUCCAGGAUUUUGGUGUAUGAGCGGCAGAUGUAUUUCCAUUUGAAGGCCUAAAUGAAAGCAAAGCAGAUUCCAGCAGGAAUAAAGAAACUUGCAAUUUUAACAUUUUUUAACUAUAACAGUAACUUGUAACCUAACGGGUUGCCCCUCGCCCCUAACCCUAUUUUCAGUAUUGAUUCUGAAAUCAAGUGAUUAGUCGGAAUGGUAAAAUAUGUUCAUAUUAUUUGACUGAUCGCACCCAUUAACAUAUCUAAAGAAUAAACCUUGAUAACUCCAACAUGCAGGGGUGAGGGACGUUUAAAAACACUAUGCAAAUCUUCUAACAAUAAAUUGUUAACGAUUAAUUCUA